UGGGGAAUAUUGGACAAUGGGGGAAACCCUGAUCCAGCAAUACCGCGUGUGUGAAGAAGGCCUGCGGGUUGUAAAGCACUUUUGUCGGGGAGGAAAAGUUAAAAGCUAAUACCUUUUAACCAUGACGCUACCCGAAGAAAAAGCACCGGCUAACUCUGUGCCAGCAGCCGCGGUAAUACAGAGGGUGCAAGCGUUAAUCGGAAUUACUGGGCGUAAAGGGCCUGUAGGUGGUUUCUUAAGUUAGAUGUGAAAGCCCUGGGCUCAACCUGGGAACUGCAUCUAAAACUGGGGAACUAGAGUAUGGUAGAGGGAAGUGGAAUUUCUAGUGUAGCGGUGAAAUGCGUAGAUAUUAGAAAGAACACCAGUGGCGAAGGCGACUUCCUGGACCAAUACUGACACU
rnacentral:rRNA from 1 species